AGCUCCAAUAGCGUAUAUUAAAGUUGUUGCAGUUAAAAAGCUCGUAGUUGGAUUUCUGGGAGGGUGCUAAUGUCCGCCAUAGUGCGUGUGCAGCAGCGCCCUUCCAUCCUUCUGUUAACGCCUCUUGGCAUUCAUUUGCUGGUGGCGGGCUCAGAUAUUUUACCUUGAGAAAAUUAGAGUGUUUCAGGCAGGCUAGGCCGGAAUAUAUUAGCAUGGAAUAAUGGAAUAGGACUAUGGUCUCUUUGUUGGUUUGAGGGACUGCAGUAAUGAUUAAUAGGGAUAGUUGGGGGCAUUAGUAUUUAAUUGUCAGAGGUGGAAUUCUCAGAUUUGUUAAAGACUAACUUAUGCGAAAGCAUUUGCCAAGGAUGUUUUCAUUA
rnacentral:rRNA from 1 species